AUUGGAUUUUAUGUGUAUUUGUUGCAGAUGGCGACAGUUACUGUUAAAAAGGAAGAAGAGGAGGAUGAGGUUGAUAGCAGCCAGCAACCAGAUGCAUUGGAAGAUGAUUGCAGCCAACAAAAUUAUCUAAUCCCUGGCUACAACAUGAUCUUCAUCAAAGAGGGUCCAUAUGAUGAGCAAGAGGCUGGAGGAAGUGCAGUGAAGAGUGAACCAGAGAUGUGGCAUUCAAACUGCAGCACAUCUGGCCAAGACUACACAACAGAAGAGGGUGGACUGAUUGAGCAUUCAAUCUCUCCAAUGGAAAAGUGCACUGAGUCAUCUGUGGCUGGCAAAAAGAUCAAGCUCUACAGCUGUGCUCACUGUAGCUAUGAAACACCAAAUUCUGCUAAUUUGAAGAGACACAUUCGGAAACACACUGGAGAAACACCUUUCAGCUGCGAGUUUUGUGACUACAAAACUGCUCGUUCUUGUCUUUUGAAAGAACAUAUAACAACACAUACUGGAGAAAAACCUUACAUCUGUGACUUUUGCAACUACAAAAGUGCUAAGUUGAAUAGUUUGAAGAGACACAUCAGAACACAUACUGGAGAAAAACCUUUUAGCUGUGAGUUAUGUGACUUCAAAAGUUCUCAGUUAUAUCAUUUGAAAAGUCAUAUGAGCACACAUACUGGAGAAAAACCAUUCAGCUGCGAGCUUUGUGACUUCAAAAGUGCUAGUUCAAGUAGUUUGAAAAGACACCACAUCAGAACACAUACUGGAGAAAAACCUUUCAGCAUGGAGUUUUGUGACCUCAAAAGUGAUACGUUGGGUAAUUCGAAAGCACAUACCAGAACACAUGCAGCAGAAAAUCUUUUCAAUGAAUUAUGGAUUAUUUCAGAUCAUCAAGAGGCUGAAGGAAGUGCAGGGAAGAGCGAACCAGAGAUGUGGCCUCCAAUCUGCAGCACAUCUGGCCAAGACUACACAACAGAAGUGGGUGGACUGAAUGAGCAUUCAAUCUCUCCAGUGGAAAAGUGCACUGAGUCAUCUGUGGCUGGCAAAAAGACCAAGCUCUACAGCUGUGCUCACUGUAGCUAUGAAACACCAAAUUCUUCUAGUUUGAAGAGACACAUUCGGAAACACACUGGAGAAAAACCUUUCAGUUGCGAGUUUUGUGACUACAAAACUGCUCGUUCUUGUCUUUUGAAAGUACAUGUAACAACACAUACUGGAGAAAAACCUUACAGCUGUGACUCUUGUGACUUCAAAAGUGCUAAGUCAGAUAGCUUGAAGAGACAUAUCAGAACACAUACUGGAGAAAAACCUUUUAGCUGUGAGUUAUGUGACUUCAAAAGUUCUCAGUUGAGUCAUUUGAAAAGUCAUUUGAUCACACACACUGGAGAAAAACGUUUCAGCUGCGAGCUUUGUGACUUCAAAACUGCCAAGUUAGGUAAUUUGAAAAGACACCACAUCAGAACACAUACUGGAGAAAAAAACCUUUCAGCAUGGAGUUUUGUGACCUCAAAAGUGCUACAUUAGGUAAUUUGAAAACACAUGCAGCAGAAAAUCUUUUCAAUGCAUUAUGGAUGAUUACAGAUGAGCAAGAAGCUGUAUCGUCUGCAAAAAAAUAUGUCAGAACGAGAUUUGAGCCUGGGUCCCACAGUGUGUCAAACUAUGCUCUAACCGUCUUGGACACCAUGCCCUGGUAACAGUGGAUUCGAAAAAGUAGGAACAUGAAUAUUGCUGUAUCUUCAAAGAUAUGGAAAAGUAGCUUUUGAGGUGGCUGAUGGAGGAAUCUCAUUGACUUGGGCUGCAAUGGAUGCUGGAAGGCAGCGGCCCCAAUACAAGUAAAUAUCUAAUAGCUGAUUGUUGAAUUGAUACGAAUCUUGGACGUGGAUGACCGCGCAGAGGAAUAUGAGGAAACUUGUACUGCUUGAGAAGACUUCGUCUCCAAUCUUCAGCGGUGGAUUACUUCACAUCUUGAUAUCGUGUAUCUAUCACCAAUCGACAAAUUUCUGCAGGAAAGGGAAUCGCCAGUCAACAUAGACUCUGGAAUUUAAUAUUAAAUUUCAAUAUGACUUAUGUGUUACGACAAAGACAAUAAACUGACAAAGACAAUAAAUUGAGUAAUUAAACAUUUUAUGUUUUUUCAUUCAUCUUUUUAUUUUUGUUUUAUGAUUUGUUUAUUUGUUAUUAAACGUUAUUAUUUUCUGUUUCAUCAUUUUAUUUUUAUUUUAUCAUACAUUUUUAUUUCAUUCAUUCAUUCAUCAUCAUUAUUAUUAUCUCAUUUUCUACAAUAUCGAAGGAUUGAUUUAUGAGUGAACUUAUCUUAUUUGAUUGAAACCUCAGACCAUAUUCGCUAUGAUGUCUGAAACAGUGACAUUCUAAUAGUUGUGAAGCGUUAUUUGUUUCAUAAUCUGUAUUCAUAAAAAUG